GCCAGGAUGGCCGAACCUGGUAAGGCGCACGCCUGGAAAGCGUGUUCCCUCUGGGAUUCUGGGUUCAAAUCCCAGUCCUGGCG
rnacentral:tRNA from 1 species